rnacentral:rRNA from 1 species
UACGUAGGGGGCAAGCGUUGUCCGGAUUUAUUGGGCGUAAAGAGCGUGUAGGCGGUUCGGUAGGUCCGUUGUGAAAACUCGAGGCUCAACCUCGAGACGCCGAUGGAAACCCUCGAACUAGAGUCCGGAAGAGGAGAAUGGAAUUCCUGGUGUAGCGGUGAAAUGCGCAGAUAUCAGGAAGAACACCCGUGGCUAAGGCGGUUCUCUGGGCAUUACCUGACGCUGAGGAGCGAAAGUGUGGGGAGCGAACAGG